AUUCCUUCCAGCUCUAGCAGAGGCACAGGACAUCCAUGUGCACCUGAUACCGCUCCAGCGCCACCUGGAAGCUCUGGAGAAUGCAGAAUUUCCGGAGGUGAAGCCCCGGCUGCGGCCCCUGCUCCACGUGGUCUGUCUGAUUUGGGCCACAUGCAAGUCCUACCGCUCCCCGGGGAGGCUGACUGUGCUGCUCCAGGAGAUCUGCAACCUUCUCAUCCAGCAGGCCUCUAAUUAUCUCAGCCCAGAAGACCUGCUGAGAAGUGAGGUAGAAGAAAGUCAGAGAAAACUGCAAGUGGUCUCAGACACUUUGAGCUUCUUCAAGCAAGAGUUUCAGGACAGAAGGGAGAAUCUCCACACUUACUUCAAAGAGAACCAGGAAGUCAAGGAAUGGGAUUUCCAGUCUUCUUUGGUCUUUGUGCGAUUGGAUGGCUUCCUGGGACGACUGCACGUGGUGGAGGUGAGUGCGCACCUCACCUCAGGCUGCCAGCCCCAGACAGAAAGAAGCAGUCCAGGGGUCCAAAAAGUGGAAUAGGAAAAUGCACAACACAACCUCAUAGCCAACCCUCCAUCAGCUGGAAUAAUCCAUAAUAAAGGUUCAAUUGGCCAGUCA
rnacentral:sRNA from 1 species